UACGGAGGGUGCGAGCGUUGUUCGGAUUUACUGGGCGUAAAGGGCGCGUAGGCGGCGCGGUAAGUCACUUGUGAAAUCUCUGAGCUUAACUCAGAACGGCCAAGUGAUACUGCAGUGCUAGAGUGUGGAAGGGGCAAUCGGAAUUCUUGGUGUAGCGGUGAAAUGCGUAGAUAUCAAGAGGAACACCUGAGGUGAAGACGGGUUGCUGGGCCAACACUGACGCUGAGGCGCGAAAGCCAGGGGAGCAAACGGG
rnacentral:rRNA from 1 species